rnacentral:tRNA from 1 species
UGGGGUAUAGCUCAAUGGUAGAGCAUGCUUAGUAUGCACGAGGUUCUGGGUUCAAUCCCCAGUACCUCCA